rnacentral:misc_RNA from 1 species
UGGCUCUCCCAUCGAUGAAGAACGCAGCGAAAUGCGAUAAGUAAUGUGAAUUGCAGAAUUCAGUGAAUCAUCGAAUCUUUGAACGCACCUUGCGCCCUCUGGUAUUCCGGAGGGCAUGCCUGUUUGAGUGUCAUUAAUUUCUCAACUUCAUUAGUUUUUAUUAACUAACUGAAGCUUGGAUGUGGGAGCUUGCUGGCGUCUCAGAUGUUUGGCUCUCCUUAAAUGUAUUAGUAGGAAACCGCUUGUUGGCAUCCAUUGUGUGAUAAUUAUCUACGCAUUGGUUAGUUCAACAGCUCUAAUAAAGCAAUAUUCAGAACACUUAGGUGUCUCUGGUUGGGGUUUUGCGCUUAUGUGCUUUACCUGUUAUUUUAUUCAGAAUACUUAGGUGUUCUGGUUAGGGUUUUGCGUUCAGCUUUACCUGGCUUUCAUUAGAGUAGGAAAUCUGCUUUCAAACCGUCUAUAGUUUGUAGACAAUUUUUUGACAACUUGACCUCAAAUCAGGUAGGACUACCCGCUGA